rnacentral:lncRNA from 1 species
ACACCAUACGAAACAACGGCUUUCAAUAAUAUUAUAAAUCAACAGCGCGCAAUUUAAAAGUGAAUUUGUGAGAAUCAUUCAUUGUCGCAUCUGGUCUGCAACCAUGGAAACAUCUGCUUGUAUAAAAGCUCUUGUGUUCGCCACCACUCACUAUUAUAAUAACAAGACUGACUCAACCCUUGUGCACUUGCAACGUCAAUUAGAUGUUAUGAUAGGAGUUACAGACCAACGGUCAAACAGUAAAUAUUUCCUUCCACCUCAACUGGCAGCUACAGAAUGUCUGACUUGUUUAGUGGAUGUUUUAUCGGAUCCCAGCACUGUACCACAUUUGUCGCUGAAAUGUAUCCAAUUACUUGGUA